rnacentral:tRNA from 1 species
GGUAUAGCUCAGAGGUAGAGCACAUGCUUAGCAUGCACCAGGUCCUGGGUUCAAUCCCCAGUACC